CUUUUUGGCCACACCUGCAGCAUGAGGAAGUUCUCAGGCCAAGGAUCAAAUCCACACCACAACAGCGACCUAAACCACAGCAGAUAACACCACAACCCCAGCUCUUUAACCCACUAAGCCACAGAAGAACUCCAAGGAUGAGUUUCAAACAUCACAUCCCUAAAUACUUUAGCAGCACACAUCUCUUAAGAACAAGGCUAUUUUCUUACAUAUCCUUAGGACAACUACUAAAGUAAGGAAAUGCAACUGAUGUACAUGAUUAUCUAAAGUCUGGUCUAUAUUCAAAUCUUGCCCUUUGUCCCAUACUGUCUUAUAGCAUUUUUUUCCCCUGAUGCAGUAUCCAAUCCAGAAUUACACAUGGUUAGUUGUCUUGGCUCUUUAGUCUCUUUUAUUUUUAUUUAUUUAUUUAUUUUUUGUCUUUUUGCCAUUUCUUGGGCCGCUCUCAGGGCAUAUGGAGGUUCCCAGGUUAGGGGUCUAAUCAGAGCUCUAGCUACCCGCCUACGCCAGAGCCACAGCAAUUCGGGAUCCAAGCUGUGUCUGCAACCCACAUCACAGCUCACGGCAACAGGCACAGGAUGUCAUGUGGUCCCAUUGUUGGUGAUGUUAACAUUGGUCACUUGGUUAGUGUGGUCCCUGCAGAUCUAUCAUUUGUAAAGGUUACUUUUUUCCCUCCAAAAUUAAUGCUCAAUGGGAGAUGCUUUGAGACUGUCUCCACCCCACCCCACCAUAAACUGUUGCCCAAUAGUUUAGCAUCCAUUGAUGUUUCUUUCCAGGAUCAACAAUCACUAUGACAGUUGCAAAAUGGAGUUGAUGCCUCUCUACAUCUAGAAUCAACUGCUAUUUAUUAUCUUAUUUUACAGAUAAACCAUUGAGACUCUGAACGUCAAGUACGUUGUCCAAGGCCACAAAGCAGUGAGAUUCAGAUUCAGGCCUGUCUGACUCCAGAGCAUGUGCUUUUGCCCUUCUUUCAUCCUGCUGCCAUGCUGCCCGUCCAAGCCAUCAGCCGUGGGAGGUGAUGAGAUGUUCUGCCCCACUGAACAUUCUUACUUCCUUGCUCCUUUCCCUACAUUUGAGGCUGAUGGAAAGAAAUGGACCAUAGGGUCAUUUUUGCAGCCCCCAUGUCCUCGCCUUUCCCUCUUAGUCCCCUCAUGAUCCUCCCACAACUGAUAUCCAGAGCAGAAAUCUCACAAAGACGUCACCUCAAAGGGGAGAAGGAAGGGGGGAUGCCCAAAUUAGGGGCAUGGGAUUAAGAGAUACAAACUACUGUAUAUAAAACAGAUAAGCAACAAGGAUGGAUCAUAUAGCACAGAGAAUCAUACCCAUUAUCUUGUAAUAACCUAUGAUAGAAUAUAAUCUGCAAAAUGUUGAAGCACUAUGCUAUACACCUGACACUAACACAAUAUUUUAUUUUUCUUUUUAUGGCCACACCUGUGAAAUAUGGAUGUUCCCAGGCUAGGGGUCAAAUCGGAGCUGAAGCUGCCAGCCAUAGCCACAGCCACAGCAAUGCCAGAUCUGAGCCGCGUCUGCAACCUACACCACAGAUCAUGGCAAUGCCGGAUCCUUAACCCACUGAGCAAGGCCAGGGAUCGAACCUGCGUCCUCAUGGACACUAUGUCGGGUUCAUAACCUGCUGAGCCACAAUGGGAACUCCAAUACAAUAUUUUAAAUCAACUAUAUUUCAACAAAAAAAGAAGUUACCUCCAUUAUCCUGCCCCUUUCCCCCCCACACACACACCCCAAGAGCUAAGAGGCUCUCUCCUCUCCUGAUGUUGGAGAAGAGGGAGGGUAAAUGUGGGAUGAACCAGGCUUUGCGCUGUGCAUAAGAAGUGCUUAUGGAACCCUCCUACACUGUUGCUGGGAUUGUAAAUUGGUGCAGCCACUGUGGAAAACAGGAUGGAGUUUCCUCACAAAACUAAAAAUAGAAAUACUGUAUGAUCCAGCAGUCCCACUCCAGGGCAUAUAUUCAGAAAAGAUGAAAACACUAAUUUGAAAAGACACAUGCACCCCUAUGUUCAUAGCAGCACUAUUUACAAUAGCCAAGACAUGGAAGCAACCUAAAUGUUCAUUAACAGAUGACAAUAAAGAAGAUAUGGUACAUAUAUACAAUGGAAUAUUACUCAGCCAUUGAAAAGAAUGAAAUAAUGCCAUUUGCAGCAACAUGGAUGACGUAGAGAUUAUCAUCCUAAGUGAAAUAAGUCAGAAAGACAAAUACCAUAUAUUACUUAUAUGUGAGAUCUAAAAUAUGACACAAAUCAACAUAUCUACCAAAUAAAAACAGACUCAGAAAUAUAGAGAACAGACUUGUGGUUGCCAAGGGGGAGGAGGGGGAGGGAGGGAAGGAUUGGGAGUUUGGAAUUAGCAGAGGCAAACUACUGCACAUAGGAUAAUAAGCAAUAAGGGCCUACUGUAUGGCACAGGGACCUAUAUUCAAUAUUCUGUGAUAAACCAUAAUGGAAAAGAAUACGAAAAAGAAUAUAUAUAUGGGAGUUCCCAUCAUGGCUCAGUGGUUAACGAAUCUGACAAGGAACCAUGAGGUUGAGGAUU
rnacentral:lncRNA from 1 species